UCCAUUCCUUAACUUUCAAUUUUCUUUUGUUUGUGUCAUCAGGCUAUGAAACUGGAGGUCACUGCCAAAUAUAAAGCACGGCAGUGUGAGAUAGGCUCAAAAUUCAUACAUCGCAUUCUACGGAUGCACUCGAGGUCUGUUGUAUUCAAGAGGACUUCCAGUACGCUUAAGACCGCAAAGCUCCAGGAGUGAGGAG